rnacentral:rRNA from 1 species
CGUGUAGGCGGUUCGAUAAGUCGAGUGUGAAAGCCCGAGGCCCAACCUCGGAAGUGCAUUCGAAACUGUCGGGCUUGAGUACGGGAGAGGGAAGUGGAAUUCCUGGUGUAGAGGUGAAAUUCGUAGAUAUCAGGAGGAACACCGGUGGCGAAGGCGGCUUCCUGGACCGAUACUGACGCUGAGACGCGAAAGCGUGGGGAGCAAACA